GACGAACGCUGGCGGCGUGCUUAACACAUGCAAGUCGAACGAUGAAGCCCAGCUUGCUGGGUGGAUUAGUGGCGAACGGGUGAGUAACACGUGAGUAACCUGCCCUGGACUCUGGGAUAACCCCGAGAAAUCGGAGCUAAUACCGGAUAGGACCUUUCCUCGCAUGAGGUUUGGUGGAAAGUUUUUCGGUUUGGGAUGGACUCGCGGCCUAUCAGCUUGUUGGUGAGGUAAUGGCUCACCAAGGCGUCGACGGGUAGCCGGCCUGAGAGGGUGACCGGCCACACUGGGACUGAGACACGGCCCAGACUCCUACGGGAGGCAGCAGUGGGGAAUAUUGCACAAUGGGCGCAAGCCUGAUGCAGCAACGCCGCGUGCGGGAUGACGGCCUUCGGGUUGUAAACCGCUUUUAGUAGGGAAGAAGCCUUCGGGUGACGGUACCUGCAGAAAAAGGACCGGCUAACUACGUGCCAGCAGCCGCCGUAAGAC
rnacentral:rRNA from 1 species